rnacentral:rRNA from 1 species
AGCUCAGGCGACGACGGGUAGCCGGCCUGAGAGGGUGACCGGCCACAUUGGGACUGAGACACGGCCCAGACUCCUACGGGAGGCAGCAGUGGGGAAUAUUGCACAAUGGGCGAAAGCCUGAUGCAGCGACGCCGCGUGAGGGAUGACGGCCUUCGGGUUGUAAACCUCUUUCACCAGGGACGAAGCGAAAGUGACGGUACCUGCAGAAGAAGCACCGGCUAACUACGUGCCCACAGCCGCGGGG